GACAGGAGGAUUUGGUUGUUCCAGAAAGGCAUGGAAUGGAGUCUACGAAUGAGGGGCCCUCUGGGUUCAGAGCAUGCACAGCUAUUUUAGAACUAUUUCAUGCCAAAGCUUUUUCUGGAUGUUGGGCCAGGACUGGGUGUACAUAUAAAAGUCUUUAGGUGGAUGGGCAGAAGAGGUGGAAAUGUCGGGAAAGAGCCAAAAGAAGUCCACCAACUGUAGUCCCUACCAGAGUUUGCUAGCAGCCAAAGCUGGUCAGCCCAGCAGCCCCAAGAAGCGACCUGUAGGACUCAGCCUAGCCUUGGAUCAACUCAGCUGUGGAGAUGCCAAGUCCUGCAGGCAAGGGAACAACUCCACCCACUGGCUAAGGCUGGGUAGCUGCUGCUCCAAGUUUGAGUCCACUCUCUUAGGGGAUGUGGUAGAAGAGAUUGUGCUUGUUUUGGGGAGGUUGCCUAUGUAAUUUGGUUGUUAUUACAUCUCUUCAGUAAAUAUGUUAAAUUUAA